GACAGAGGGUGCAAACGUUGUUCGGAAUUACUGGGCGUAAAGCGCGUGUAGGCGGCUAAGUAAGUCGGGCGUGAAAUCCCACGGCUCAACCGUGGAAGUGCACUCGAAACUGGAUGGCUAGAGUCCUGGAGAGGAAGGUGGAAUGCUUGGUGUAGAGGUGAAAUUCGUAGAUAUCAAGCGGAACACCGGUGGCGAAGGCGGCCUUCUGGACAGUGACUGACGCUGAGACGCGAAAGCGUGGGGAGCAAACAGGG
rnacentral:rRNA from 1 species